AUAUAAAUUGAAAACCCGCCGGAGCGCAUACUCAUUCUUCAUUUGGCGCCAUUUCGCUCCCUUUGGCUUUUCCAGUUCUCCCAAAAGACGAGACGCACCCAUUCUCUCCAAUUCGCUAUCUGCUUCGUUCUUCGGGCCAUUUCAUAGUCGCAGACACACCAAAAAGGGGGCAUUGAUAAGAAAACAGUCUGGGAGAGUCAUCAGAAUAAUUGAACAACAUGGCAUCAAGUUUGGGAGGGGCGUCGGUGUCGCAAACAGAUGAUUUUGAGACGUUCACUCCAACGACAGAUGUUGAGCCUCUAAAGAGGGCCUGGCGUAAUGAAAAAGCUGCUCCUGAGAUUCUACCCUUUGAGGCAUCUUUGGUUGGGAGAAUCAAAGAGCAGAUUCAAUUAAUGGAAGAUACUAUAGAGGAAUAUUCAAGAAGUGGCAUCGAUCCCCUAAUUGUAUCACUCUAUCAGAUGGAUUUAGAUAGGACACAGUUCUUGUUAAGAUCAUAUAUUAGGAUUCGCUUACAGAAGAUUGAGAAGUACAUGCUCUAUAUCUUGAAGUCAGAUGAACUUUUCAGACGUCUUUCCGAGGAAGAGAUAACAUUUACUGAUAGGUGUAGUCAUGAUAUGAAAAAACAUUUUGAUGAGAGUGUUCUAUCAAAAUUGCCAAAUAAUUAUCAGGACAUUUUGAGGCAAUCUAUAAUAAGUGAAGAGGAUGACAUGGUUCCAGAACCUCCACUGGACACGUUUGUGGUCUGCAAAAGUAAGGAAUAUCUUGAACAUAUACAGCUUGAGGAUGAGGAAGAGAGGGCAUCUAGUAGAGUAGAGGAACCUUUUGAGAUGGAGGCCAAUGUAUUACACAUUAUUCGCUACAAGCCUAUAAAAUCACUUGUAGAGAGCGGGAGAAUUGAUUUGCUGUAGACAAUCUCCAUAGCAGCUUUCAACAUCGUGUGUUGCUAAUUUCAAGAUGGGUUGAAGUCAUAAAUGAAAGGAACGGUAAAGCACUGAAGGGAUCAGGAAAGGCUGGGCAAAUCUUUGUCUUGUUCGAGGAAACAUCUGCAAUUCUCCUUUCUACUUCUAUUUUAGAGUUUUUUUUUAUUUUUUUAUUUUAUUUAAAUUCUUUCCGCCCCUUCUCGACUCUAUUUUUGGAUUUUUACAAUGGGCAAAGAUUAACCUUUCUAAAAAUGAUGGUUCAUUUGUAUCGACAAGAGUUCAACUUGUAAAUAUAAGUAUAGUCGAGGAUAAUUGAAUAUACUCAUUUCUUUUCUUUUAUGGUCAAAAGUUGAAACCACAAAUAUAUAUCUGUCGUGCCAGAGGCAUAUCAAAGACCAUGGCUCCUCCUCUUGUUAGGAUAUAU